CCGGUACUUAUUAUACUUUACUGUUUUCGCGAACUUGCUAUACCAGUCUUGGCGGAAGUUGACUCGUCGCUUCUUGCGGCGAUGAUACUCUUCCGCCAGGGCAAAACACACAUUUAACCCCAAACGUUUUCUGCUCGUAAAAAGGCAGCAAAACAUUCUUCUAAAGCACAAAAUACUUGAGUCUAUGUUCUUACGAUCGCGCCUAAACCGCUCGAUGCAAAGAAUCGACUCGAAUACCUAACCAAAAACAACUCUCAACAAUGGAUAUCUUGGCUCUCGCAACGAUGAAGAACGCAGCGAAAUGCGAUACGUAGUGUGAAUUGCAGAAUUCCGUGAAUCAUCGAAUCUUUGAACGCAUAUGGCACUCGAGGCUUCGGCCGAGAGUAUGUCUGUCUCAGCGUCAUUCGUAACCCUCACCUCCCACCCCUCUCUCUCUCUCUUCUCACGAAAAGAGUUUCGGAGGCGUGCGUUGGUGCUCCCGCCCUCGCUGCGAGCACCCGGAAGGUGGAGCUGGCUUUUGCUCUCUUCUCCAAGAGAGCAUCAGCUGAAGCGUCGAGCGCCCGAAGCAAGAGCGUUUCUGCGGCUUUUCUUUUCUUUCGAGAAGAGAGGUCGCGGAAGCGAUGACUGGAUAGGUUUCUCCUGAAACACGAAAGUCGUCGACCAUGUGCUCCUGCGCGUAGGGCCCAACGUGCUUUGACGGCGUGUGUUGUUUCGUUCAACGCGCGCCCCGAGCACAAUUAACCUACAACUUUGACCUGAGCUCAGGCAAGACUACCCGCUGAUUUAAAAAAAAAUUAUAA
rnacentral:rRNA from 1 species